UACGGAGGGGGCUAGCGUUGUUCGGAAUUACUGGGCGUAAAGCGCGCGUAGGCGGCAUAGCAAGUUGGGGGUGAAAGCCCGGAGCUCAACUCCGGAACUGCCUUCAAAACUGCUAAGCUAGAGUUCGGAAGAGGAGAGUGGAAUACCCAGUGUAGAGGUGGAAUUCGUAGAUAUUGGGUAGAACACCAGUGGCGAAGGCGGCUCACUGGCCCGUAACUGACGCUCAGGCGCGAUAGCGUGGGGAUCAAACAGG
rnacentral:rRNA from 1 species